rfam:Dictyocaulus viviparus strain HannoverDv2000 D_viviparus-1.0_Cont258.2, whole genome shotgun sequence.
GCCUCAGUAGUGUAAUGGAUCAGCACAGCAGACGGGAUAUCUCUAAGUGCGGGUUCGAGUCCCGCCUGAGGUU